rnacentral:lncRNA from 1 species
GAUUGAAAUUUUAUUUUUUUGUCAAAUUUAGGCCUCAAUUUUUCAAUAUUCACCAAAAAUGGUUCCAUUUGCAAAAAUUACAAAUUUUAAGGAUGAAUUUUUGUUCUGUGUUUACCACUAAUUAGAUAGUUUAGUUUAGUAGUCAAAAGAUAUGAGACUCUUUUUCUUUUCAAACAAAAAUAUUUGGCAAAUGUGACUGUCCACAAAGGAAG